AUGAACGCUGGCGGCACGCUUAACACAUGCAAGUCGAACGGGAUCUUCGGAUCUAGUGGCAGACGGGUGAGUAACGCGUGGGAACCUGCCCAGUAGUAGAGAAUAACUUGAGGAAACUUAAGCUAAUACUUUAUACACCCUCCGGGGAAAAGCUUUAUGCGCUAUUGGAUGGGCCCGCGUUAGAUUAGUUUGUUGGUGAGGUAAUGGCUCACCAAGACUACGAUCUAUAGCUGGUCUGAGAGGAUGAUCAGCCACACUGGGACUGAGACACGGCCCAGACUCCUACGGGAGGCAGCAGUGGGGAAUAUUGGACAAUGGGGGCAACCCUGAUCCAGCGAUGCCGCGUGAGUGAUGAAGGCCUUCGGGUUGUAAAACUCUUUCGUCAGGGAAGAUAAUGACGGUACCUGAAGAAGAAGAUCCGGCUAACUCCGU
rnacentral:rRNA from 1 species